UAAAUAACACAUCCCUUUACUGCCAAUCAUCACUGUUGUCAACAUCGUUGUGUCAUUUAUUUUGUUUGACCGGAAACUCUUUAUCUUACGGUUAAUCUUCUUGAUAUUUCAGAUGUGGAAAGCCCAAAUGCCGAUGCAUUCUCGAUUCACCGACAUUAAGACAAAAAUAAACUUGAUUUUGGUAUGAAAUUGAUUCAUUCAUUUUCGAUCCAUUGAGUAAGAUUCUUAUCCGUUGGAUGAGUCGGGCAGCCUCUUCCACGCUUCCAACGGUGUGCCCAUCCAACAGGUAGUCAAACCAGACAAAGUGUCUCCACUUGGACUUUGUCGUCGUUUCCCUCAUCUUUUUCUUCUGUCUGAAGUGCACUUUGAAUGCAGAUUGUCAAGGAGCUGAUUCUGAAGGUUGAUGGUCAAGUUUGGAGCUGCAUGGAGAUUACAAAUAUCUGACUACUGAAGACUCAUGGAUCGGUAGCAAAUUUAAUAUAAUGAGUUAUUA